GUGGGGAAUAUUGGACAAUGGGCGCAAGCCUGAUCCAGCAAUGCCGCGUGGGUGAAGAAGGCCUUCGGGUUGUAAAGCCCUUUUGUUGGGAAAGAAAUCCUGUCGAUUAAUACUCGGUGGGGAUGACGGUACCCAAAGAAUAAGCACCGGCUAACUUCGUGCCAGCAGCCGCGGUAAUACGAAGGGUGCAAGCGUUACUCGGAAUUACUGGGCGUAAAGCGUGCGUAGGUGGUGGUUUAAGUCUGCUGUGAAAGCCCUGGGCUCAACCUGGGAAUUGCAGUGGAUACUGGAUCACUAGAGUGUGGUAGAGGGAUGCGGAAUUUCUGGUGUAGCAGUGAAAUGCGUAGAGAUCAGAAGGAACAUCCGUGGCGAAGGCGGCAUCCUGGGCCAACACUGACACUGAGGCACGAAAGCGUGGGGAGCAAACAGGAUUAGAUACCCCAGUAGUCC
rnacentral:rRNA from 1 species